rnacentral:rRNA from 1 species
UACAGAGGGUGCAAGCGUUGUUCGGAAUUAUUGGGCGUAAAGCGCGUGUAGGCGGCAUGGCAAGUCGGGUGUGAAAGCCCUCAGCUCAACUGAGGAAGUGCGCCCGAAACUGCUUUGCUUGAGUGCUGGAGAGGGUCGCGGAAUUCCCCAAGUAGAGGUGAAAUUCGUAGAUAUCGGGAGGAACACCAGUGGCGAAGGCGGCGACCUGGGCCAAUAUUGACGUGAGGUGCGAAAGCG